rnacentral:rRNA from 1 species
UACGUAGGUGGCAAGCGUUGUCCGGAUUUAUUGGGUUUAAAGGGUGCGUAGGCGGCUUACUAAGUCAGUGGUGAAAUACUCUAGCUCAACUAGAGGGGUGCCAUUGAUACUGAUGAGCUUGAGUACAGAUGAGGUAGGCGGAAUUGACGGUGUAGCGGUGAAAUGCUUAGAUAUCGUCAAGAACACCUAUAGCGAAGGCAGCUUACUAGGCUGUAACUGACGCUGAGGCACGAAAGUGUGGGGAUCAAACAGG